rnacentral:rRNA from 1 species
GACAGAGGGGGCAAGCGUUGCUCGGAAUUACUGGGCGUAAAGGGCGCGUAGGCGGGAUGGCAAGUCGGUCGUGAAAUCCCUCGGCUCAACCGAGGAACGUCGAUCGAUACUGCUGUUCUUGAGGAUUGCAGAGGAGACUGGAAUUCCCGGUGUAGCGGUGAAAUGUGUAGAGAUCGGGAGGAACACCGGUGGCGAAGGCGGGUCUCUGGGCAAUUC